UAGCUAGUUGGUGAGGUAAAGGCUUACCAAGGCGACGAUCUGUAGCGGGUCUGAGAGGAUGAUCCGCCACACUGGAACUGAGACACGGUCCAGACUCCUACGGGAGGCAGCAGUGGGGAAUUUUGGACAAUGGGGGCAACCCUGAUCCAGCCAUGCCGCGUGAGUGAAGAAGGCCUUCGGGUUGUAAAGCUCUUUCGGCCGGGAAGAAAUCGCAUGGGCCAAUACCCUGUGUGGAUGACGGUACCGGAAUAAGAAGCACCGGCUAACUACGUGCCAGCAGCCGCGGUAAUACGUAGGGUGCGAGCGUUAAUCGGAAUUACUGGGCGUAAAGCGUGCGCAGGCGGUUUUGUAAGACAGGCGUGAAAUCCCCGGGCUUAACCUGGGAACUGCGUUUGUGACUGCAAGGCUAGAGUACGGCAGAGGGGGGUGGAAUUCCACGUGUAGCAGUGAAAUGCGUAGAGAUGUGGAGGAACACCAAUGGCGAAGGCAGCCCCCUGGGUCGAUACUGACGCUCAUGCACGAAAGCGUGGGUAGCAAACAGGAUUAGAUACCCUGGUAGUCCACGCCCUAAACUAUGUCAACUAGGUGUUGGGUGGGUAAAACCAUUUAGUACCGUAGCUAACGCGUGAAGUUGACCGCCUGGGGAGUACGGCCGCAAGGUUAAAACUCAAAGGAAUUGACGGGGACCCGCACAAGCGGUGGAUGAUGUGGAUUAAUUCGAUGCAACGCGAAAAACCUUACCUACCCUUGACAUGCCAGGAACUUGCCAGAGAUGGCUUGGUGCCCGAAAGGGAGCCUGGACACAGGUGCUGCAUGGCUGUCGUCAGCUCGUGUCGUGAGAUGUUGGGUUAAGUCCCGCAACGAGCGCAACCCUUGUCGUUAAUUGCCAUCAUUUGGUUGGGCACUUUAACGAGACUGCCGGUGACAAACCGGAGGAAGGUGGGGAUGACGUCAAGUCCUCAUGGCCCUUAUGGGUAGGGCUUCACACGUCAUACAAUGGUCGGUACAAAGGGUUGCCAAGCCGCGAGGCGGAGCCAAUCCCAGAAAGCCGAUCGUAGUCCGGAUUGCAGGCUGCAACUCGCCUGCAUGAAGUCGGAAUCGCUAGUAAUCGUGGAUCAGCAUGUCACGGUGAAUACGUUCCCGGGUCUUGUACACACCGCCCGUCACACCAUGGGAGCGGGUUCCGCCAGAAGUAGGUAGCCUAACCGCAAGGGGGGCGCUUACCACGGCGGGGUUCGUGACUGGGGUGAAGUCGGAACAAGGUAGCCGUAGGGGAACCUGCGGCUG
rnacentral:rRNA from 1 species